GAUCCUGGCUUAGGACGAACGCUGGCGGCGUGCCUAACACAUGCAAGUCGAACGGGGAUUUGUUUCGGCAGAAUCCUAGUGGCGAACGGGUGAGUAACGCGUAGGCAACCUGCCCUCCGGCCGGGGGACAACACUCCGAAAGGGGUGCUAAUACCGGAUACGAAGUCUGUGCCGCAUGGUACGGAUUUGAAAGAUGGCCUCUGUUUACAAGCUAUCGCCGGGGGAUGGGCCUGCGUCCGAUUAGCUGGUUGGUGGGGUAACGGCCUACCAAGGCGACGAUCGGUAGCCGGUCUGAGAGGAUGAACGGCCACAUUGGGACUGAGACACGGCCCAGACUCCUACGGGAGGCAGCAGUGGGGAAUCUUCCGCAAUGGGCGCAAGCCUGACGGAGCAACGCCGCGUGAGUGAGGAAGUUCUUCGGAACGUAAAGCUCUGUUGUUCCUGACGAACCUCCCCUCUAUCAACAACGGAGGGGACUGACGGUAGGGAACGAGGAAGCCACGGCUAACUACGUGCCAGCCGCUGC
rnacentral:rRNA from 1 species